AGACGCGGCGUGAUGCUGUGCGCCCGGAGGCUGGGUGGCCUGCGGGCCGGGCUCCGCGUGCGGCGGGUCAGCACCCGCUGGUCCCCGGUGGGCGCCGCCUUCACCGUGCAGCCCCAGGGCCGCCGCCUGGACCGGUCCGGCGAGCGCGGGGGUCUCUUUGGCGUUCCCGAGCUCAGUGCCCCAGAAGGAUUCCGCGUGGCCCAGGAGAAGGCCCUAAGGAAGACGGAGCAGCUGGUGAGGCGCGUGUGCACCACGCCACCCGGGCCAUGGACUGUGCUUAUCUUCGACGAGCUCUCAGACUCCUUGUGCAGGGUGGCCGACCUGGCCGAUUUUGUGAAGAUUGCUCACCCCGAGGUGGCGUUCAGGGAGGCCGCGGAGGAGGCUUGUCGGAGCAUCGGCACCAUGGUGGAGAAGUUGAACACAAAUGUGGAAUUAUAUCAAAGUUUGCAGAGGUUACUAGCUGAUAAGAAACUUGUGGAUUCCCUUGAUCCGGAAACCAGGCGAGUGGCCGAACUGUUUAUGUUCGAUUUUGAAAUCAGUGGAAUCCAUCUAGACCGAGAAAAGCGUAAAAGAGCUGUGGACCUGAACGUUAAAAUCUUGGAUCUGAGCAGUGCAUUUCUCAUGGGAACCCACUUCCCCAACACGAUUGGGAAGCACCUCCUGCCAGAACGCAUCCGGCAUCACUUCGAGCUGGCUGGGGACCACGUGGUGGUGGACAGUCUGCGUGCAGAAGCACCCGACGACUUGGUGCGAGAAGCUGCUUAUAAAAUUUUUCUUUAUCCCAAUGCUGGUCAAUUGAAACGUCUAGAAGAGUUGCUCAGCAGCAGAGACCUCCUGGCAAAGUUGGUAGGGUAUCCUACCUACUCCCACAGAGCCCUCCAGGGAACAAUCGCCCAAAGUCCAGAGACUGUCAUGGAGUUCCUUGAGAAACUGUCUGACAAACUCUCUGAAAGAACUAUGAAAGAUUUUGAGAUGAUUCGAGGGAUGAAAAUGAAACUAAACCCUCAAAAUUCUGAAUUGAUGCCCUGGGACCCCCCAUACUACAGCGGACUGAUUCGGGCUGAGAGGUUCAACAUCGAGCCCAGUCUCUACUGCCCGUUCUUCUCCCUGGGUGCCUGCAUGGAGGGCCUGAGCCUCCUGUUCAACAGGCUGCUGGGGGUCUCGCUGUACGGGGAGCAGCCCGCGAAGGGUGAGGUGUGGAGUGAGGACGUCCGCAAACUGGCCGUGGUUCAUGAAUCAGAAGGACUGCUGGGAUACAUUUACUGUGACUUUUUUCAGCGAGCAGACAAACCACACCAGGAUUGCCACUUCACCAUCCGAGGAGGUCGUUUAAAGGAAGAUGGGGACUACCAGCUCCCCGUGGUGGUCCUUAUGCUGAACCUGCCCCAGUCCUCAAGAAACUUGCCCACGCUGUUGACUCCCGGGAUGAUGGAGAACCUUUUCCAUGAGAUGGGCCAUGCCAUGCACUCGAUGCUGGGACGGACUCGAUACCAGCAUGUCACUGGGACCAGGUGCCCCACGGACUUCGCCGAGGUCCCAUCUAUCCUGAUGGAGUAUUUUGCCAACGAUUACCGGGUGGUUCACCAGUUUGCCCGACACUAUCAGACGGGCCAGUCGCUGCCCAGAAAUAUGGUGUCUCGUCUUUGUGAAUCUAAAAAGGUCUGUGCCGCAGCGGACAUGCAGCUUCAGGUCUUCUACGCCGCCCUGGACCAGAUCUACCAUGGGAAGCAUCCGCUCCAGAGCUCGACCACAGACAUCCUCAGGGACACCCAGGAGCGCUUCUACGGCCUGCCCUACGUCCCCAACACUGCCUGGCAGCUGCGCUUCAGCCACCUGGUGGGUUAUGGCGCCAAGUACUACUCCUACCUGAUGUCCAGGGCCGUGGCGUCCAUGGUCUGGAGAGAGUGCUUCCGGCAGGACCCUUUCAACAGGGCAGCGGGGGAGCGCUAUCGCCGGGAGAUGCUGGCCCACGGCGGGGGCAGGGAGCCCAUGCUCAUGGUGCAAGAUAAAGUUAUCUCAUCAAAAGCAGAUGGAAAAGCCAGAGAAUACAAAGCAAGCUGUGAUUCAUUAGCUGGAUAAUCAGCUCAGGAUUGUGUCUGAUGAUAAAACCCUAAAUACUUUAUCACAGACAGCAUUUUGAAAUUCAACUUGUGAAGAAAAUAAGCAACCUCAUCCUUCAGCCCUUGAACUUUCACUCUGAUGGUUCUUGUUACCAGAUAUAGAGCCUUUCCCACGUGUUCAGUGCACCUUAUUCAAUGCUUACAGCAGUCAAGCUGUGUAGACGACACCCUGCUGGUGUUCUGGUCCUGAGACACACACCUCACUCACCAGUCAGCCUCCGCUCAGGCUGAUUCAAGCAGGAGCGAGUCUCGGAAGUCCAGUGUGGGCUGAAGGCCCUGAACCGGGUGGUUGACCAGGGUUACUCACCAAGCCCUGGCUCUAACCACCAGUGCCCUCUUUAGGGGCACCUUCAGUCUUGCAGUCUUGUUCAGGAAAGGAGGAAUUUAUCUUUCUGCUAUAUUCCUCCUCACUAACCCUUCCGAGGGAGACUUUGGGACAGUCAGCAGAGAGAACAGCUGGAAAUUUGAGGUUGUAAGAUGCUGGGCUGAGCCAGGGAAUGUUCCCUUUGGCCUGAAAGCCCAACGUGCCCAGCGCCAGCACCCACGGCAGCUCCCCUGGGGUGUUCAGAGCUGGGCUGUGGUCCCUAAACAGAUGAUGCCUGGGGGCCUUAACUCGCACAGAACCCUGGCUGAUGUACCUUCAUUUGAACCAAGUACCGGCGCUGUGCCUGAAAUGUAGGAGUGUGCUUGGCUUCUGUCUCUGAUUUAGAAAGAACUGAGGGUGACCCACCCCAGCCACCUCAGGUGUUGAAGGUCUGGCCUCGCAGGUGUGGGGGCCACAUCCACCCCUCUCCUGGGCUCCUGGGCGCAUGUGCAGCCCAUGAGCGCCCGUCACACCGCGAGGCCCAUAGACAGAAGGGCAGGUCCUUCCAGUUCCACCAGGAAAGAAGCAAUUUCAGGAGGAACCACGCACUCCGGAGAGAGCAUCCCCCCCCUUCUCGCCCUGCCCCCAGCACACCCCCCACCACAGCAGGUGGGGCUGGGGGCAGAGACAGACUCUCCCCUGUCUCAGGCCAAGACAGCUCUCACUGCCCGCCAGUGACCUUAAAGAGAUCUGAUAGUAAAGCUUGCCUGUAUGUCACCUGUUUCCGAUAUCUGUGGGACGAUGUGGUCAUUUAAAUGAGAAAAGAAAGAGCAGAAAGCACUUGGUUUUACUCCAAACCCUUGGCCUAGAAAGUUGGUCCUCAAACAAAAAUAUCAGUGUCUCCCGGGUAUCAUUAAAUUCUCUUUAGUAACUUGUGAACGAAUCUCUUUAUCAGGUGGGAAUCUUCUUGAAAGAAACCACCAACUCAGGCUGACCAAGCAGAAAGGAAUUUGGGGGAACCAUACAGAGGCGGCCGCAGAGUCAAGGGGAGAACCAAAAGCCAGCUGAGAAAGCAGCUUCCAGGCUCCGUGUCGGGGCAGACGAGCUGCUUGGGUGCCUGUACCAGGCUCACUCCCCUGGUGUCCCCGGCCUCCCGUCAUCGUGACCAGGAGUGGGUCCCCGGGGGGCACAGGGAUGGCACCAAGCUGGGUGUAGGAAGGCAGGAAGUCCCGUACCUGGGGGGCCCAGAUGCCCCAGUGUGGCGGCCAGGAUGGCGUCCCCUGCGGGCACACACAUAACCUGCAGCUGGCAGCCCCCAAGCGGCAGGCUACAGCACUGCACACAGGCCAGCUCCCAGCUCAGGUGGGGUCCCCGGAGCCUGCCUGGGAACCCCUGGAGACCCUAGUUCACUGCCAUCAGGCCUGGAACAGCCACCCGGUCCUCCGAGGUCAUGAACACACUGGUUUAGCAGAGCAGUCGAGACAGAAACGUUCGGGCUUGCCCUAGGUUUUAUCAGCCCAUUCGCCUCCCAGGGAAAAGGAGGAGGAAAAUAAAUUAACUCGUCAUCGUAACUGCUUUACGGGCUGUUCCCUGUGGGCUCGCGGAGGACAAGCAGGUGGCACUCUCCUUCCCUGAGGGUUCCCUGCAGCCGGUCUGUCUUACACCACCACCCACGUGUCCCUCUGAGGGGGAAGUUACCCUCGGUUUUGUUUUACAGUCUCAGCCCCCUGCACCCCCCGCCCCUGCCCUCCAAAGAAUGUGUGUCAGCUCCACCCGCUCUGGACUUGGCCCUCAGUGGAUUCUGGGGGCGCCUAUGAAACUGCUCAUCCCAAUACCAGCCUUUUAAGACUAAGACUUGACACACAGAACAUCUUCACCAGCUUUAUUAAAAAAAUCCACGUGUUGCUGGAAUCUUUACCCUACAUAUGUGAACACUAAAUUCAGUUUUUCUUAUUUGUGGAACUGCCUGAAAACAUUUUGUGUUUGAUUCCCUGUGUAGAAGUUGUUAGUUCAUGUUGACACUUGCAAACACUUAGAUCUAAUUAAAGCGAGGACACUGCAGCCGUGUGGCAGGAGAAUUCCCGCCCUGGUAACUAGUUCAUCCUCUCUGAACCUUUGUCUUCACCGGUCACAGCACACACACGACAGUCCAACCACUCCUCUCGGGCCAGGUUUUAUUUAAAACUCCCCCGAGCGUGUGUGCGUUUCUCCACUUGCCCCAAGGUGGCCGUCCUCUGAGACGCAGAAGUGGCUGCAGGUGACCCUGGAGAGGUUGUGGCCCCGAGGUGGUGGGUCCUGUGUUCGUGAACAACUGGUGGAGGUGAUGGGAACACUUCAAGGGACCAGCGGCCACACUUCACUGCACAGGUAUGCUUCAGAAGUGUCCUUCUAUUGACGACUUUGUAAACACCCUCGUUUCCGACCUGGACCUAGACUUCGAGACCUUCCU